rnacentral:rRNA from 1 species
GACAGAGGGGGCAAGCGUUGCUCGGAAUUACUGGGCGUAAAGGGCGCGUAGGCGGGAUGGCAAGUCGGUCGGGAAAUCCCUCGGCUCAACCGAGGAACGUCGAUCGAUACUGCUGUUCUUGAGGAUUGCAGAGGGGACUGGAAUUCCCGGUGUAGCGGUGAAAUGUGUAGAGAUCGGGAGGAACACCGGUGGCGAAGGCGGGUCUCUGGGCAAUUCCUGACGCUGAGGAGCGAAAGCGUGGGGAGCGAACAGG